AUUGAACGCUGGCGGAAUGCUUUACACAUGCAAGUCGAACGGCAGCACGGACUUCGGUCUGGUGGCGAGUGGCGAACGGGUGAGUAAUGUAUCGGAACGUGCCCAGUCGUGGGGGAUAACGUAGUGAAAAUUACGCUAAUACCGCAUACGAUCUAUGGAUGAAAGCGGGGGAUCGCAAGACCUCGCGCGAUUGGAGCGGCCGAUAUCAGAUUAGGUAGUUGGUGGGGUAAAGGCCCACCAAGCCAACGAUCUGUAGCUGGUCUGAGAGGACGACCAUGCAAACUGGAACUGAGACACGGUCCAGACUCCUACGGGAGGCAGCAGUGGGGAAUUUUGGACAAUGGGCGAAAGCCUGAUCCAGCCAUUCCGCGUGCAGGAUGAAGGCCCUCGGGUUGUAAACUGCUUUUGUACAGAACGAAAAGGUUUCUACUAAUACUAGGAGCUCAUGACGGUACUGUAAGAAUAAGCACCGGCUAACUACGUGCCAGCCGCCGCAGUAA
rnacentral:rRNA from 1 species